GAUGAAGAACGUAGCGAAAUGCGAUACGUAAUGUGAAUUGCAGAAUUCAGUGAAUCAUCGAAUCUUUGAACGCACAUUGCGCCCGCCAGCACUCUGGCGGGCAUGCCUGUUCGAGCGUCAUUUCAACCAUCAAGCCCCCAGGGGCUUGUGCUGGGGCCCUGCGGCUGCCCGCAGGCCCUGAAAACCAGUGGCGGGCUCGCUAGUCACACCGAGCGCAGUAGCACAUCUCGCUCAGGGCGUGCGGCGGGCUCCUGCCGUGAAACCCCCCACUGUAACCCCAAAGGUUGACCUCGGAUCAGGUAGGAAUACCCGCUGAACUUAAGCAUAUCAAUAAGCGGAGGA
rnacentral:misc_RNA from 1 species